rnacentral:rRNA from 1 species
AUGCAAGUCGAACGGGAUCCCCGAGCAAUCGGGGUGAGAGUGGCGCACGGGUGAGUAACGCGUAUGCAACCUACCUUUAACUGAGGGAUAGCCCAUAGAAAUGUGGAUUAAUACCUCAUAGUUCUUUUGGUCCGCAUGGAUUGAAAGAUAAAGCUGAGGCGGUUAAAGAUGGGCAUGCGUGACAUUAGCUAGUUGGUAAGGUAACGGCUUACCAAGGCUACGAUGUCUAGGGGUUCUGAGAGGAUGAUCCCCCACACUGGUACUGAGACACGGACCAGACUCCUACGGGAGGCAGCAGUGAGGAAUAUUGGUCAAUGGGCGCAAGCCUGAACCAGCCAUCCCGCGUGAAGGAUGAAGGUCCUAUGGAUCGUAAACUUCUUUUAUACACCAAGAAAAAUCUCCACGUGUGGGGACCUGACUGUAGUGUAUGAAUAAGCAUCGGCUAACUCCGUGCCAGCAGCCGCGGUAAUACGGAGGAUGCAAGCG